rnacentral:rRNA from 1 species
GCUACGGGGAGCUGUAAGUAAGCAAAGAGCCGUAGAUAUCCGAAUGGGGGAACCCACCGCUUUUAAAAGGGCGGUACGCGAAAGCGAGGUAACGCAGGGAACUGAAACAUCUAAGUACCUGUAGGAAGAGAAAGAAAAAUCGAUUUCCUAAGUAGCGGCGAGCGAAAGGGAAAGAGCCCAAACCAAUGUGCUUGCAUAUUGGGGUUGUAGGACUCUCAAUAAAGUGUAUGACAAAGUAUAGUAGAACUAGCUGGAAAGUUAGACCGUAGAAGGUAAAAGUCCUGUAUACGAAAUGCUAAGUUGGCGCGAGAGAGCACCUGAGUACGGCGGAACACGAGGAAUUCCGUCGGAAUCUACCAGGACCAUCUGGUAAGGCUAAAUACUACCUAGUGACCGAUAGUGAACCAGUACCGUGAGGGAAAGGUGAAAAGAACCCCGGGAGGGGAGUGAAAGAGAACCUGAAACCGUGUGCUUACAAGUAGUCAGAGCCCCAUGAGGGUGAUGGCGUGCCUUUUGUAGAAUGAACCGGCGAGUUACUUUAUCAUGCGAGGUUAAGUGGAAGACAUGGAGCCGAAGCGAAAGCGAGUCUUAAUAGGGCGAAAUAGUAUGAUGGAGUAGACCCGAAACCAAGUGAUCUACCCAUGGCCAGGUUGAAGUUUAGGUAACACUGAAUGGAGGACCGAACCAGGACACGUUGAAAAGUGUUUGGAUGAGCUGUGGGUAGCGGAGAAAUUCCAAUCGAACUUGGAAAUAGCUGGUUCUCUCCGAAAUAGCUUUAGGGCUAGCCUCGUUGUGAGUUUACUGGAGGUAGAGCACUGUUUGGACUAGGGGCCCAUCCCGGGUUACCGAAUUCAGACAAACUCCGAAUGCCAGAUAAAUAUCAACGGGAGUCAGACUGCGGGUGAUAAGGUUCGUAGUCGAAAGGGAAACAGCCCAGACCGCCAGCUAAGGUCCCAAAUUGUAUGUUAAGUGGAAAAGGAUGUGAUGAUGCACAGACAACCAGGAUGUUGGCUUAGAAGCAGCCACCAUUUAAAGAGUGCGUAAUAGCUCACUGGUCGAGUGACAUCGCGCCGAAAAUGUACCGGGGCUAAACAUACAACCGAAGCUGCGGAUAUAACUAAUGUUAUAUGGUAGGAGAGCGUUCUAACAUCGUAGAAGCCGAGCUGUAAGGCGAGGUGGAGAGGUUAGAAGUGAGAAUGCCGGUGUGAGUAGCGAAAGAUAGGUGAGAAUCCUAUCCACCGAAUGACUAAGGUUUCCAGAGGAAGGCUCGUCCGCUCUGGGUAAGUCGGGACCUAAGGUGAAGCCGAAUGGUGAAGCCGAUGGACAACAGGUAGAAAUUCCUGUACCACCAAAUAUCGUUUGAGAGAAGUGGGGACAGAGGAGGCUAAUUGAUCGUCCUGAUGGAAUAGGACGUCUAAGCACAAAGGUUGAGUAGUAGGCAAAUCCGCUGCUCGUAAGACUGAAGUGUGAUGGGGAGCGAAAUUUAGUAGCGAAGUCAAUGAAGCCAAACUCUCAAGAAAAGCCGCUAUCGAGAUAAGAGGUGCCCGUACCGCAAACCGACACAGGUAGUUGGGAAGAGAAUUCUAAGGUGAGCGAG